rnacentral:rRNA from 1 species
AGGACGAACGCUGGCGGCGUGCUUAACACAUGCAAGUCGAACGAGGUGCUUCGGCAUUUAGUGGCGAACGGGUGAGUAACACGUGAGCAACCUGCCCUUGGCUCUGGGAUAGCCUCCGGAAAACGGGGAUUAAUACCGGACAUGACCUGCUCCUGCAUGGGGGCGGGUGGAAAGUUUUUCGGCCAGGGAGGGGCUCGCGGCCUAUCAGCUUGUUGGGGGGGUAACGGCCCACCAAGGCGACGACGGGUAG